GAUGAACGCUGGCGGCGUGCCUAAUACAUGCAAGUCGAGCGAACAGACGAGGAGCUUUCUCCUCUGACGUUAGCGGCGGACGGGUGAGUAACACGUGGAUAACCUACCUAUAAGACUGGGAUAACUUCGGGAAACCGGAGCUAAUACCGGAUAAUAUAUUGAACGGCAUGGUUCAGUAGUGAAAGACGGUUUUGCUGUCACUUAUAGAUGGAUCCGCGCCGCAUUAGCUAGUUGGUAAGGUAACGGCUUACCAAGGCAACGAUGCGUAGCCGACCUGAGAGGAUGAUCAGCCACACUGGAACUGAGACACGGUCCAGACUCCUACGGGAGGCAGCAGUAGGGAAUCUUCCACAAUGGGCGAAAGCCUGACGGAGCAACGCCGCGUGAGUGAUGAAGGUCUUCGGAUCGUAAAACUCUGUUAUUAGGGAAGAAAAAAUGUGUAAGUAACUAUCCACGUCUUGACGGUACCUAAUCAGAAAGCCACGGCUAACUACGUG
rnacentral:rRNA from 1 species